UACGUAGGGGGCGAGCGUUGUCCGGAUUUAUUGGGCGUAAAGAGCUCGUAGGCGGUUCAACAAGUCGGUCGUGAAAGUUCAGGGCUCAACCCUGAAAUGUCGAUCGAUACUGUUGUGACUAGGAUACGGUAGAGGUGAGUGGAAUUCCGAGUGUAGCGGUGAAAUGCGUAGAUAUUCGGAGGAACACCAAUUGCGAAGACAGCUCACUGGGCCGCUAUCGACGCUGAGGAGCGAAAGCUAGGGGAGCAAACAGGAUUAGAUACCCUGGUAGUCCUAGCUGUAAACGAUGGAUACUAGACGUAGGAACUGGAUUGACGGUUUCUGUGUCGUAGCUAGCGCGUUAAGUAUCCCGCCUGGGGAGUACGGUCGCAAGACUAAAACUCAAAGGAAUUGACGGGACCCCGCACAAGCGGCGGAGCAUGCGGCUUAAUUCGAUGAUACCCGUAGAACCUUACCUGGACUUGACAUAUAGGGUCUAGCUAUAGAGAUAUAGUGUGCAUUAGCGCCCUAUACAGGUGGUGCAUGGCUGUCGUCAACUCGUGUCGUGAGAUGUUGGGUUAAGUCCCGCAACGAGCGCAACCCCUAUCCUAUGUUGCCAGCAUUUAGUUGGGGACUCAUAGGAGACUGCCGGUGAUAAACCGGAGGAAGGUGGGGACGACGUCAAGUCAUCAUGCCCCUUAUGUCCAGGGCUGCACGCAUGCUACAAUGGCAAGUACAACGAGUCGCAAUACCGCGAGGUGGAGCAAAUCUCUUAAAGCUUGUCUCAGUUCGGAUAGGAGUCUGCAACUCGACUCCUUGAAGUUGGAGUCGCUAGUAAUCGCAAAUCAGCAAAGUUGCGGUGAAUACGUUCUCGGGGUU
rnacentral:rRNA from 1 species